rnacentral:rRNA from 1 species
GCCAGAGGAGGCAAUUGUUGUUCGGAAUCAUUGGGCUUAAAGCGCGCGUAGGCGGCCUUGUAAGUGUCUUGUGAAAUCCCACGGCUCACCCGUGGAACUGCAGGGCAAACUGCAAGACUUGAGGUCGGUAGAGGCGCCUGGAACUCUAGGUGGAGCGGUGAAAUGCGUAGAUAUCUAGGGGAACGCCGGAGGCGAAAGCGGGGCGCUGGGCCGAUUCUGACGCUGAUGCGCGAAAGCGUGGGGAGAAAACAGG